rnacentral:lncRNA from 1 species
GUUGUAACAUUUUCAGAAAUUUAGUUUAAAGCAGCUCCAGACAUGUGCUUGUGUCACAAAAUGGGAAAGUUUGUUUUUCUAUUUAAAAUGGAUUAAAGAACAUUUAACAAUUAUGCUUUGAAAAUGGUUCUGCCAGAAGAUAACUGGAAACAUAUAUAGUCAUUCUUUUAUGGAAAAUAAAAACAACAAGCAGCACCAGAAACACAUGUAAUCAAAACGUUGUGUGUAGAACUUUUUCAUCUGGUCACGAGAGCAAGUGCAGUUUGAAAAGUGAAAAAAAUUACAGUACAUUUGGAGAUCAAGAAAUAUCAAACGUUAGCUGUGCAUGAGCUUACGUUUGAGAAUCGAAUAGAAAUAAUGUUCGAGCUUUAACGUCAUCCUAACUUUAAACAUAUUGUGAAAGAAUAUGUAUUGUAUAUGAUAUAUGUAAUUUAAUGUACUUUUAUUAAAAUGCAAAUUUUUUUUAAUUUAUAGCGUAUUUCUAAA